UUUUUUUUUUUAAAAAAAAAGGAAAGAAAAAUAACUGCAAAAGAAAAUACAUCAACUAGCUUAAUAACAAGUCAAACCUAUAUAAAACAAUUUGUAACACAAGGCUAUCCAAUGUGCCAAUGUCAGAUUUAAACAUUAUCUCGAAAUUUCCUUCCUCUCUAAUUUAGCUUUUCUAUGAAGACCUUAACAUGUAUCAUAUGAUGUUGCACCUGGAUUCCCAAACUAUAGUAUGAUAUGUACGCACUUGUGUGUGUGUACAUGUGUGCACAUACAUUUAUAGAAAGAAAUAAAGCAUUUUAUACCUGAUCCUAACUCAUUAUGUACAAAUAACAUAAUAAAUUUUAAGACUCAACUUCAAGAGUAUGGAAACAUUGUUAAUGAAAAAGAUAAGUCUUUCACAACCAAACAUCCACUAAAGCAAUCUUUUGGGAAAAUAUUAGUUUAUUUCCCUUAAAAAAUAGUCAACUGAUUCAUUAAUUCAACAUAUUUUAACAAUUUUUAAAUCAAAUGAAUUUUAUUAUGAUACACAUAAUUCAAAUAUUUUCCCCAAUUAUGUGCAACAGUUGUUUCUUAUACCAUGAAAAGCAAUUAAUUGACAAAAAUGCAAGUAACUAAAAUCAAAUAAUCUUUAGGGAAUGAUUUUCAACUUACAAUAAGAUUUGUAU
rnacentral:misc_RNA from 1 species